UACAGAGGUCCCGAGCGUUGUUCGGAUUCACUGGGCGUAAAGCGCGUGUAGGCGGCUAUGCAAGUCGGACGUGAAAUCCCACGGCUCAACCGUGGAAGUGCGCUCGAAACUGCGUAGCUAGAGUCCUGGAGAGGAAGGUGGAAUGCUUGGUGUAGAGGUGAAAUUCGUAGAUAUCAAGCGGAACACCGGUGGCGAAGGCGGCCUUCUGGACAGUGACUGACGCUGAGACGCGAAAGCGUGGGGAGCAAACAGG
rnacentral:rRNA from 1 species